UUUGACACUUACACCACAGUAGAGAAAUUGUAAUUGCCUUUAUGUAAUAAUCUUGUGAUUUUUGUGGCUCAAAAUAAGUAUUCAAAAAUUAUGAAAAAUUUACAGUAGACUUUAUGCUUGACUGAUAGUCCCCUGUAAAUUAUGUGGAAUUUAUUGAUGAACAGAACUGCAUGUAAUUUUAAUGGGCCUGGAAAUGAAUAAAGAAAAUUAUGAAUUGUUGUAUGUAUAGGUUGAAUAGAAUAAGUUUGGGUUUGGUGUAUCUUUGA
rnacentral:lncRNA from 1 species